GCCUACAAACUUAUGCUGAAGGUGAAGCUGGACGUGGAGGAACAGAUACAUCGGUAAUUCCUUCUAACAUCAACACAACAGACUUCAUAGAAGGACGGAUACCUGGUUCAUCUUGAAUACACCAAAUGCCCACCAUAACCAUUUUCUCCAAAUUCUGCAAGUCUACAUCUUCACCAAGAUCUAGCUUGUCCAAUUCUCUUUCAACCAAAAGCUCGUAUGCCCAAUUAGAAAGUUGAAUUUCCUCUACUCUUGAUACAUUAGUUUCUAUAUUUCUCCUGCAGAAAACAAUUUCCAAGAGCAUAACUCCGUAACUGUAAACAUCUGCCCUGACUGAUAUUGGAGUGUUCUUCUGCCAUUCAGGAGCCAAGUAACCUCGAUCGUGUCCCUCUGACUAUCGUAAAGGUUCUUGUUUGAUCAGGCAGUAGCAAUUUUGCUAGCCCGAAAUCAGAGAUCUUAGCAUUCCAAAAAUCAUCCAUUAGAAUGUUUUGAGGCUUUAUAUCGCAAUGGAUGAUUGGUGCUUCACACUCUUCGUGUAGAUAUAGGAUCCCUCUAGCAAUAUCUAAAGCAAUUUUCACUCUGUGACUCCAAUCUGGGAUCCUUUCAGUUCGGAAGAGAAGAUCUGCAAGGGAACCGUUGCUCAUGUAUUCGUAUACUAGGAGUCUCUGGGAGUCCUCAGUACAGUAACCAAGCAGCCGAACCAAGUUCUUAUGAUGAGUUUUUCCAAUCGAACGCAUCUCUGUGAGGAACUCCCUUUCACCUUCACUGACCAACUUUUCUAGCCUCUUCACUGCAAUAACUUUUUUACCUUUGUAUAAUGUCCCUUUGUAAACUGCUCCAAAAGAUCCUUUUCCCAACUCUUCCCUGAAACCCUUGGUUGCAUUUUCAAGCUCCGAUAUGAAAAUGCUCUCAGAGUGAGCUCAUGGGCCAAGCCAAGAUUUCCGCCUCCCAACCGCAUUCUGGCCUUAACAACUCUUGACUUAGAGAUGAAAAAAACAGAAACUGCAAUGGCAAUUGAAGAGCAUGUAAUGAAUGCUACGCUCAUAACACAAAUGAGCAUCACUGUCUUCUUGCUUGUCUUAUGGACCACUGGAGGCUUCGUUGCAGUGGCAAUGGAUCGGUUGCGGCUUUCGACACUCUUCAAACCCACCUUGAAGAAAACCUUUGAUGAGUCACCUUCCAAUCUCUUAGCAUGUUUCACUGGGAACUUCACUUUCUUGCAGUCCCCAGAUUCGUACAGCGCACCAGCACAGUUACAGUCCUGCAAACAGGACUUUCUGCAAUCUUCUUCUGACAUGGAGUUUUUAAAAUAAGGAAAGUCAUCCACAGUCAUUUUCUCCAUAUCAGUAAUGCUAUACGAGGAUGUUUCCUCUGCAACUUUGCAUAAUUCUUCAGUGUAGUUUCUCUUACACCCAUUAUAUCUCUGGUUGGGAUUGACAAAAACAGUGCCAGGAAGACAGCUGCAGUAAGGUUGAUUAUCGUUCAUGGUGCAGUAGCUGUUGAGACCGCAGAAAGACUUCACUUCGCACUGACUUUUUGGUGCAUAAUGCAUAAGAGAUGUAGUGUAGGCACCAUUGCUGUCGAAGUUAUGAGAAUACAAUCGAAAAAUUCCAUCGUACUCCAAUGUUGCACGGUAGAUAGUUGAGCUGUUUUCCGAUUCUGAACCAGAGGAAAACACAGGUGUGCCACUUGCCAAGGUGUUGUUAAGGAUUAGCAGUUGCCCGGUAUAAUUCAAGUACAGAUGGGUACCGGAAGCAAAAGUGGCAGUGUUCCAAUAAGCAUCUACUGAAGUGUCUAUAGUGUCUAUGGGAUACAAAACAAGAUUCCCAUCAGAUUGCAUUUUAAGAUGAAACCUUCCUGUUGAAAAAUUGGUUGUAGAUGCACUGGAAAGCAGUUCACCCCCUGCAUAUAGAUUCUGGCCUCCUAAUAUUGUAUCUGUAGGAAAGUUGAAACUCUACCAAAUGACCUCAGAAUGUUCAUUGUAGAGCACUAGAUUUCCAGAAUCAAGCAUGCGAGCGUUUGAAGCUGACUUCUCUAUCCUAGCAACGAGUUUCUCUUCACCGGCCUCAUUGUUGGCAGAAUAAGUUCUUAAAAGAAGCUUACCGUUUACGGUCAACUCCAACGUAGCAUUUGAUGGCACAGGAGGGUCAUCUCGGUAUGCUGUCCAGGUGAUUAUAUCAGCUGGCUUACACACCAACCAAAUUCCCACUAUAAAGCCACUGCCCUGUGGGUAGAACCCAAAGGCAAAUGUGCCAGAAGGGGAGCGCCAUGAAGUUGGUUGGACGUUGGUGGAGAUUGAAGAACCUAAACUUAUCAAGGUCGAGUGGUUCUGCUGGGAACUUGCAGGUUUGUAAAUACAAAUAACUAAAAAUAAGAAAGCUGCAUAAGCGAAAGCCAUGAGACGAAGUAUGGAAGAUAGAUGAUACUGUUGUCCUUGUCACUUCUCACGAGUCUCGAAUGACUGUAAAUUACAACAAGGAAAAUGCUAAAGCUAGCACAACCCAAAGGCAAACGGCUGGUUUUUUUUUAUAGCUUUCGGAUAUUAAAAACAUUAUUUUAAUAUAUUUUCAAGUAAAAAAUAUGUUUGAAAAACACCUUAAAUCACAAUACUAGACACACCCAGUCUUUCUAUGGGGACAUUUCCACGCUGUAUUCCAGUAAAAAUAAAGACAUUAUAAGAAGAAUCAUUUUUCCUUGCAAGGUACGUAAAAGACAUAAUUUCUUCACCUGUGAUGUAAGAAGAAGAGGUUGCACAUAUGACUUUAAUUACUGCAGAAAGAUUUUCAACACAAAAGAGAUAAGGAUAAUUGAAUUAAGCAAGACUGAUUGAAAGCGGUUGAGAAAAUUGUCUAUGUUCUCUAUUUCCUCCACUAAUGGUAUAACAGAAAACUGACUUGUGUUGAAGCAAACAACACGGCUUAUUGACAAAAUCAAAAACCUGUCCCUUUCUGACAUGUAUGGUCUCAAAAAAAGUCUUUUAUAUAGUUGAUUUUCUAGUAUUGUUUGUCUAGCAAUAGUGUUUGAUGACUCUCUGCCUUGCAUGUAGCCCAUGCCAAUAACUUAAGCCACGCAGUUUUCUUUCUCUUCUGCCUAGUGAGAGAUGUAAUUUGAGAACAUACAUAUCAUCAGGAUAGUUCCUGCUAAGAGGAAGCCACUGAGAGCUCUUACAAGGUUUUAUUUACAACUUGCUUAACUGGUAAUAAGGUGAAAAAAAGAAGAAGAUUAAAUCGAGAAAACUGGAAAAAAAAAUAACUGAAAAAACUGAACCAUGAAAAAAAAACAAUUAAACCGAUUAAAAUAUUUUAAAAAAUAUUCAGUUUGGUUUAAGCAUUAAACUGAAAAACCUCAAAUGAACCAAACUAGUUUAGUUAAAAAUAAACUGAACAAAACUGAAAAAUUAAAAAAACCGAAUCAAACCGAAACUGAAACUCAUUAGAAAGUCCAAAAAAAAACCCCAAAAAAUAAUAUAGUUUUGGUUUAAAUAUAAAAUAACCGAACCAAAAUAGAAUCGAACUAAAACAAACCGAACAAAACUGAAACUAAUCAGUUGGGUUUUGAUUUUUGAUAUAAAAUAAUCGAACUGAAACCGAUUGGUUGGAAUAGGUUUCAGUUUUGUUUUUGUAUUUUAUAAAAUUUUAAUUUGGUUGUUUCCCUUCUUCUAGUUAAGUUGAAGAUAGCCAAGUAACUGUUAGCCAGUAAUGUCCCCUGACCUAGUCUUCAGGAAGAUUGGUUGCUAAUGUAAUUAGGAGUCUUGGUUUUGAAUUUGAAUUAGUUUUAUCUUCUGUUUCGGUUUGUUAGUUCUCCUUCUAUGAAGGAGUUUAUCCUGCGUUUUUGUUAUUCAAAGAGUUGUAUAAAUAACUCAAUUGGGUUAAUAAUAUUACAUAAUUCCAAAUCAUUCUUAUUGUUAAUAUGGUAUCAGAGCUUUCUUAAUUUGUUUUUGCUCUUUUAUCAUCAUGAUUGAUCCCGACACCACUAGACAAAAUAUAGCCGGCCUACACAACUUGGUGACCAUCAAUAUCACGACACAAGCUCCUCUCAAGCUCAUAAGCUCCAACUAUCUAUCAUGGAAAGUUGCAAUUCCAGACACUUUUUAUUGGUUAUGAUCUCCAAGGUUUCGUUGAUGGAAUGAAACCUUGUCCACCACAACAUCUCAUCACCGAUGACUCAAACACUCCUAAUCCUGAGUAUUAUGCAUGGGUACGUCAAGAUCAACUAAUACUCAAUGCUCUCAUUGGAUUGAUUCACCACACCAUUAUUCCAUUUAUUGCUUGAGCAACUACUUCCCAGGAAGCUUGGAAGAUUUUAGCAUCCACAUAUGCCACCCCCUCCAGAGGCCACUUCAAGCAAGUCAAGGCCAGCUUCAAAGCCCUCACUAAAGGCUCUCUUAACAUCUUGGAUUUCAUUCACUCUCUUAAAGCACGGGUUGAUGAAUUAGCAAUGCUUGACGCCCCUAGAAUUUUUUUUGGAAGAAUUGGGAGAUGACUACAAAGAACUUAUGUGUGUCUUACAAGCCCACGACACUUCAAUAACCUUUGACGAACUUCAUGAGAAAUUACUCAUGUUUGAAGCUUCUUUACAUGCCUUAACCAAAGCCCCCUUGCAAUUCUCACCUACGACCAAUGAAGCCACUGGUCGUCUCGAAUAUCGAUCUCAAGCCUCAACUUUGAGUCGAUCUCACCCUCCUACCUCACCACAAUGGGGCACGUCCUACCAAGGUCCUUCAAGGCUGCAAGGACCAGUUAACAAUCAGGGACUCCACAACCAACAUCUUGGCCCUCGUCCUUACCUAGGAUAUUGCCAGGUUUGUGGACACCAAGGGAACACUGCAAAAAGAUGCCCCCCUUUCAAAUUUGUGCCUCAAGAGACAGAUUUUCCCAAGGCCAAUAAGAAUCCCAACUCGUGGCAGCCAUAGGCUCAUCUUGGUGCAAGCAACAGUCCUAACACUCCUUCGUGGCUGCUAGAUAAUGGUGCUUCUGACCACAUCACAGCUAAUCUAAACAACCUAUCUCUUCACACUCCAUACACUGGCUCGGACGAUGUUAUGAUUCGUGAUGGUUCAAGCUGGCGCAUUACACAUACAGGCUCCACAACUCUACAAACCUUCUCAAAUCUUUUUAAUCUCAGGAAUAUUCUUUGUGUUCUUGAAAUUAAAAAGAGUCUCAUACUUCGAUUGAAAUAAUUUUUUCUGAUGUAUGAACUGUUCCUCUGUACUCAAUUGAUGGCUUUAAAUAUUAUGUUAUUUUGUGGAUCAUUUUACAAGAUAUGCAUGGUUCUAUCAUUUAAAACAUAAAUCUAAUGUAAAACUUACAUUCAUAUGCUUUAAAGCCAUUGUUGAAAAUCAUUUCAAACAAAAAAUCAUAACUUUAUAUUCGGAUAAUGGAGGUGAAUUUGAAGCUAUCAAAGAUAUUUUCAGUUAGAUAGCAUUUAUCAUCGUACUUCCCCACCACACAAACCUGAACACAAUGGUUUCUCUAAGUGCAAGCACAGACACAUAGUGGAUACAAGUCUUUCUCUUCCCACUCAUGCAUCUUUACCCCAAAAUUUUAUUUAAAAUUGAUUUUUUUAUGUUAAUUUAUUAUUUAAAAGUAGUUUCUAAGAUUUGAUUUGUUUUUAAUAGAUGGGAGAUUAUUAAGUAAUAUACUAAAACGCGUAGCUUUUUUACUGUAGCUAAUUUUUUUUUUUUUGCAUUUUUUUUCAUUUUUUCUUCUGUGCCAUUUUUUUUUCUGUAGUAAUUUUUCCUUUUUUGUUUUUUUUUAACGCGUGGGUUUUUCACUGUAGCAGCUUUGUUUUUUUUUUUCCUCGCUUUUGUUUCUUCUGUUUUUUACAUAUAAUGUAUCAUUUGUGCAUACAGUGAAACACUUGACUUUUUCUUCUUUUUUUUUUCUUUCGUUUUGCCCAUGGUUUUUUUUUCUUUUUUCUUUGUGUUUUUUUUUUACUUUUAAUGAAAUUUGUUUUUGUUUAAUUUAGUUUGUUAAUGUGAAAUUUUUUUUUUAAUUUAGUUAUUAUACUUUCAUUACACAGAUCUCGGUUUUUUUUUUAUAUAUUAAGCUGGUUGAGAACUUAGCUUUGUAGCUUUUUUUAAAAAGAAAAAAAAAACACCAUGGAUUACUACAGUGUUUACCUUACAUGAUUUUUGUUUGGCUGCAAUGUUUCCCCCACAUGUUUAUUUUUUAAAUUAUCUUUGUUAAAUUUAUUUUUUUAAUUUUGAGUUGGUUAAGAAUUUAGCUUUAGCUUUCCCCACGUUUUUUCAUUAUAAUUAUUAUUAUAUUGUAUUAUAUUAUAUGACUAUUUUUUCUUUUGUUUUUUGUUUUUAAUUUUUUUUAAUGAAUUGUUUUUGUUUGAUUUAGUUUGUUAAUGUUAAUUUUUUUUAUUUAGUUAUCAUAUUUUCAUGAUACGAAUCUCGAGUUUGAUGGGUUAACUUGAUUUGACGAGUUAUUUUUUUCAUUUAGUUUAGUUUGUUAAAGUUAAUUUUUUUUCUAUUUAAUUAUCAGACUUUCAUGACACGUAUCCUGGGCUUGACGGGUUAACUUGGUUUGAUGGGUUAACCCGGUUAAUUCUGGGUAAACCCGUCAUUUUUUUUUUCUAUUUAGUUAUCAAACUUUCAUGAUGCAAAUCCCAGGUUUUAUGGGAUAACCUGGUUUAAAGGGUUAACCCAAUUAAUUCAAUUUCUUUUUCUUUUUCUUCAUUAGUUUUUUCCUUUCUGUUGAUUUUUUUUCUUUAUUUGUUUUUAAUUAAUCUAUUUAAUUAUCACACUUUUAUGACACGACCUUAUAGCCAAACCCACAUCCAAUAUUCUUGGGUCCGGUGUUACAGUCAGACUCACUUAAACUUGGGUAAUGCAAGUUUAAUUUUAUUAUUAAUAUUAUAAAUAUUACUCUUAGGUCAGGCGUUGCAACCAAACCCAAGAUUCCUGGGUAUAACUUUGCAGAAAAACCCAAGAUUUUUAAAUUUUUAUUUUUUAAAAUAUUUUUUAUACAAAAAAAUAACCCGCGGCAUCGCGCGGGUAUCAAAGCUAGUAGUAACUAUAGACUGUCAUCAUACGAUUCAAACUCUAUCCCCACAACAGGUGGUGGAUAAUGCUUCCUUUGGGAGUCACUAUUCUGAAACACCUUCUACUGUAGCAUCAGCUCUGUUGUUUUCAAGGACAUGGUGUUCAAUAUCAAACGGUUUGUUCGCAGUUGUCCUCAAGAUCGUUGCCUUCAGACAGCUGCAGUAAGGUUGAUUAUCGUUCAUGGUGCAGUAGCUGCUGAGACCGCAGAAAGACUUCACUUCGCACUGACUUUUUGGUGCAUAAUGCAUAAGAGAUGUAGUGUAGGCACCAUUGCUGUCGAAGUUAUGAGAAUACAAUCGAAAAAUUCCAUCGUACUCCAAUGUUGCACGGUAGAUAGUUGAGCUGUUUUCCGAUUCUGAACAGAGGAAAACACACAGGUGUGCCACUGGCCAAGGUGUUGUUAAGGAUUAGCAGUUGCCCGGUAUAAUUCAAGUACAGAUGGGUACCGGAAGCAAAAGUGGCAGUGUUCCAAUAAGCAUCUACUGAAGUGUCUAUAGUGUCUAUGGGAUACAAAACAAGAUUCCCAUCAGAUUGCAUUUUAAGAUGAAACCUUCCUGUUGAAAAAUUGGUUGUAGAUGCACUGGAAAGCAGUUCACCCCCUGCAUAUAGAUUCUGGCCUCCUAAUAUUAUAUCUGUAGGAAAGUUGAAACUCUCCCAAAUGACAUCAGAAUGUUCAUUGUAGAGCACUAGAUUUCCAGAAUCAAGCAUGCGAACGUUUGAAGCUGACUUCUCUAUCUUAGCAAUGAGUUUCUCUUCACCGGCCUCAUUGUUGGCAGAAUAAGUUCUUAAAAGAAGCUUACCGUUUACGGUCAACUCCAACGUAGCAUUUGAUGGCACAGGAGGGUCAUCUCGGUAUGCUGUCCAGGUGAUUAUAUCAGCUGGCUUACACACCAACCAAAUUCCCACUAUAAAGCCACUGCCCUGUGGGUAGAACCCAAAGGCAAAUGUGCCAGAAGGGGAGCGCCAUGAAGUUGGUUGGACGUUGGUGGAGAUUGAAGAACCUAAACUUAUCAAGGUCUUUUAUAUAGUUGAUUUUGCAGUAUUGUUUGUCUAGCAAUAGUGUUUGAUGACUCUGUGCCUUGCAUGAUGGCCCGUGCCAUUAACUUAAGCCACGCAGUUUUCUUUCUCUUCUGCCUAGUGAGAGAUGUAAUUUGAGAACAUACAUAUCAGCAGGAUAGUUCCAGGUAAGAGGAAGCCACUGAGAGCUCUUACAAGGUUUUAUUUACAAAUUGCUUAACCGGUAAUACGGUGGAAAAAAAAAAGAGAAAACUGGAAAAAAAAAAUUAAGAAAACUGAACCAUGAAAAAAAAUGAUUAAAUCGAUUAAAAUAUUUUAAAAAAUAUUCGGUUUGGUUUAGUUUUAUAAGCCUGAAACUGAAAAACCUAAAAUGAACCAAACCAGUUUAGUUAAAUAAACCGAACAAAACUGAAAAAUAAAAAAAAUCGAAUCAAAUUGAAACUGAAACUCAUUAGAAAGUCCAAAAAAACCCCCAAAAAAUAAUAUAUUUUUGGUUUAAAUAUAAAAUAACCGAACCAAAAUAGAAUCGAACCAAAACAAACCGAACAAAACUGAAACUGAUCAGUUGGGUUUUGAUUUUUAAUAUAAAAUAACCGAACCAAAACCGGUUGGUUGGAACAUGUUUCAGUUUAUAAAAUUUUAAUUUGGUUGUUUCCCUUCUUCUAGUUAAGUUGAAAAUAACCAAAUAACUGUUUGCCAGCAAUGUCCACUGUCACGACCCGAUUUCCAAAUCCAUGACCGGCACAUAGGCAAGGUUCCUCUCCAAGGUUCCAUACCUAUGCGAACCCAAACUUACAUACAAUUCUAUCUUUUAAACAACUCAAUUAGAGUUCAACGCAGCAUUAACAACAAACUAACUUCAUAAUAUAAUUUAAUUGUCUUAAUACAAGAGUUAAUAUAAUUCCUAGUAUUGGAGCACUAACUUGACAUAAAAGGAAGGUAAAAAUUAUAACCAAAAAGCAGGUUCAGAAGGUUCAACAAAAGUAACCUGCUAUCAAGCUAUAAGCCUGAAAAGAAUAAUAAUGAGAGGGGGAGUUCAACAACUCAGUGAGUAGAUAAUAUAUUCAAUAUACACACAUAAGGUAAUAUAACAAUGAGAAUUGUAUACAAUUAUGGCUCUAGGUUCUUAUAUGAAGGUUUCUCAAAUAGGUCAUAACAAGAAGAUCAAAAUGGUAAAGCUCAUCAGAAAAUCAAAAUGCAAUGAGCAUGAGGCUCCGUACUGUGGGAUGAUCAGUCCACACAGGUUGGUGACUCCCCCGACCAACUAGGGUUCAGAUACGAUGUGCACAAAGACUAACACUACACUGUUAGCAUGGGUAUUCUGACUGACAUACCAUAGGUUCAUAAUCAUAAUCAAACAAACAUAUUCAUAUCUCAAAGCUCAACUCAUGACAUCAAUCAAAUGAGGAGCUAUCAAUUCAGAAGUCAAUUCAAAAUAUAUAUUGGUUCAUAUCAAGAAUUCAGAUUCAAUAUUUGAUCAAGCUUUUAUCAUAAGGAUAAUAAUCAACAUAUAUAUUAUCAAGAAGCAUGAUCCAAUUCAUAUUAACAAAUCAAAUAUUUAUAAUAUUUCUCAUGCAUAUGGAAAAUUAUCCACUCACCUGACUCAAUGCAGACACCGAAGAAAAUCCUACUGACGUCCUGCCGGUAGAAUAUCAGGAUUAUCUGAAAACAAAGGAGACAUAUUCAAGAACGACUCAAAAUAACAUUUAACCCAUUUAAUACACUUAACUAAGUGUGUAUUCCGUAACCCUAUAUGUUUUUGAACUAACAAGUCAAUUUUCUCAAAAACCCAAAACUUAACGGUUUCCCGAAAUCUAAUCCAUAAUAAAACAACUAAUAAAAAUUGGUAAUAAUUCACUAAGUAACCCUUAAUUAUUCAUCAAACUAAUCUGAAAAAGCUAACAUUACAGCUAGGGACUAAUCUGGAAUUUACCAAAUUUUUAGAGUCAAAUUGGAGGACCAAAUUGAAAGUGUUAAAUUCUCUUAUUUAUACAGUAAUUUUGUCCAUAAUUCAUAUGUUAUUCUGUUUAGAAUCUCGGAAUAUGCUCCAGGGAUCAAUUUGUAAUUUUCCAAAGUUUGGGGACUAAACUGUAAUUUUGAAAAUUAAGGGACCAAAUUGAAUUUUCAUCAUCUUCAACCUCCAAUCCAGAAUUUUAACAGAAACCUACUGUUCUCUCCUGAUUUUUAACUCAAAAUUCACCAUUCAAACAAAACUAUAACUCAAAAUCAUCACAAUCUUUCAUAAUCAACUAAAUCAUCAAUUAACCACAACAAUCAACCCCUAACAUUCAAUUUAAUUCAUCAAUUAAACUCAAAACACAAAUUUCAUAACCCUAACAUUUAUCAAAAUCAAAAUUAAAGCUUAAUUAACACAUAUUUAUACAUAAUCUUACCUUUUUACUUAUUUCCUCCAACUCCUUUCUAUUUCCUUUCUAAUUUUUCCUCUUUUCUCUUCUUUUUCUUUCUCCAUUCUCUCUCUUGCCGAUUCUCUCUCAAAUUUUUAGAUCCCUCUUUUGUUUUUUUUUUCUAUUUAUAUUUAUCAUGUUUAUCUAAUUACCACACUACCCCUCAUUCAUUUAUAUCCACACUUUAAGCCUUCAAGGGCUUUAUUGUAUUUUCCAAUUCAUUAAUUCAAAACGUUACAUCCACUGACCUAGUCUUCAGGAAGACCGAUUGCAUUGUAGUUAGGAGUCUUGGUUUUGAAUUUGAAUUAGUUUUAUCUUCUGUUUUGGUUUGUUAGUUGUCUUUCUAUGAAGGAGUUUAUCUUGCAUUUUUGAUAUUCAAAGAGUUGUAUAAAUAACUCAACUGGGUUAAUAAUAAUACAUAAUUCCAAAUCAUUCUUAUUGUUAACAUGGUGUCAGAGCUUUCUUAAUUUUUUUUCUACUCUUUUAUCAUCAUGAUUGAUCCCGACACCACCAGACAAAAUAUAGUCGGCCUAAACAACCUGGUGACCAUCAAUAUCACGACACAAGCUCCUCCCAAGCUCACAAGCUCCAACUAUUUGUCAUGGAAAGCUGCAAUUCCAGACACUUUGUAUUGGCUAUGAUCUCCAAGGGUUCAUUGAUGGAAUGAAACCUUGUCCACCACAACAUCUCAUCACCGAUGACUCAAACACUCGUAAUCCUGAAAACUAUGCAUGGGUACAUCAAGAUCAACUAAUACUCAAUGCUCUCAUUGGAUUGAUUCACCACACCAUUAUUCCAUUUAUUGCUCAAGCAACUACUUCCCAGGAAGCUUGGAAGAUUUUAGCAUCCACAUAUGCCACCCCCUCCAGAGGCCACAUCAAGCAAGUCAAGGCCAGCUUCAAAGCCCUCACUAAAGGCUCUUUUAACAUCUUGGAUUUCAUUCACUUUGUUAAAGCACGAGUUAAUGAAUUAGCAAUGCUUGGCACCCCUAGAAAUUUUUUUGGAAGAAUUGGGAGAUGACUACAAAGAACUUGUGUGUGUCGUACAAACCCGCGACACUUCAAUAACCUUUGACGAACGUCAUGAGAAAUUACUCAUGUUUGAAGCUUCUUUACAUGCCUUAACCAAAGCCCCCUUGCAAUUCUCACCUACAGCCAAUGAAGCCACUGGUCGUCUCGAAUAUCGAUCUCAGACCUCUUGAGUCGAUCCACCCUCUUACCUCACCACAAUAGGGCACGUCCUACCAAGGUCCUUUAAGGCUGCAAGGACCAGUUAACAAUCAGGGACUUCAAAACCAACGUCGGCCCUCCUCCUUACUUAGGAAACUGCCAGGUUUGUGGACUUCAAGGACACAUUGCAAAAAGAUGCCCCUCCUUCAAAUUUGUGCCUCAAGAGACAGAUUUUCCCAAGGCCAACAACAAUCCCAACUCGUGGCAGCAACAGGCUCAUUUUGCCGCAAGUAACAGUCCCAACACUCAUUCGUGGUUGCUGGAUAAUGGUGCUUCUGACCACAUCACAUCUAAUCUAAACAACCUAUCUCUUAACACUCCAUAUACUAGCUCAGACGAUGUUAUGAUUGGUGAUGGUUCAAGCUUGCGCAUCACACAUACAGACUCCACAACUCUACAAACCUUCUCAAAUUUUUUUAAUCCCAGGAAUAUUCUUUGUGUUCCUGAAAUUAAAAAGAAUCUUAUUUCUAUUUAUUAGUUUUGUGUAACAAACAAUGUUUCCAUUGAAUUCUUACCCUGGUGUUUUCUUGUUAAUGAUCUGUUAACUAGAGUGAUUCAAGCUCAAGAUGAGAGAAAAUGUGGCAUCUAUGAAUGGUCGGGGUUCAGUCUAACAUCUUCUCCAAUUGCCUUUUCCAAUUUAAAGAUUGCACUAAUAUAUUGCCAUUUUAGAUUAGGUCACCCAUCGUCACCUAUUCUAAAUAUUAUCCUUUCCAAAAAUAAGCUAGAGAUCUCUUAUUUGGCAAAAUAUUUUUCAUGCAAUGCAUGUCAAUUAACAAGAGUCGCAAACUUCCCUUCUCUGUGUUUUCCUUAGAGUCUCAUACUCCUAUUGAAAUAAUUUUUUUCUAAUGUAUGGACUAUUCCUCUGUACUCAAUUGAUGGCUUUAAAUAUUAUAUUAUUUUUGUGGAUCAUUUUACAAGAUAUACAUGGUUCUAUCAUUUAAAACAUAAAUCUGAUGUAAAACUUACAUUCAUACGCUUUAAAGUCAUUAUUGAAAAUCAUUUCAAACAAAAAAUCAUAACUUUAUAUUCGAGUAAUGGAGGUGAAUUUUUGAGCCUCUCAAAGAUUUUUUUAGUUAUAUGGCAUCUCUCAUCAUACUUUCCCACCACACAAACCUGAACACAACGGUAUCUCUGAGCGCAAGCACAGACACAUAGUGGAGACAAGUCUUUCUCUUAUUACUCAUGCAUCUUUACCCCAAAAUUUUAUUUAAAAUUGAUUAUUUUAUGUUAAUUUAUUAUUUAAAAGUAGUUUUUAAGAUUUGAUUUGUUUUUAAUAGAUGGGAGAUUAUAUAUAUAUGCUGAUGGAAAACAAACCCUUAAUUGUAUUAGGGUCUUGAACUCAUAGAAAUCCAAUGAAAUAUAUAGGCUGCGUAAAAACAGUCCAUUUGUUCCAUAGGCUUACUGCACCCGAGCUUCCAAGCCUAAGCUUUCCUAGAUAGGAUGCAGCCUAUGUCUCAUCCAAAGCCCAAGCUAGCUAGGGGAUGGUUUCAGCCCAUGUAAUUAUUUUUUUUAAUAUAAAAAAUAAUUUUUAAAAAAUCAAAAAUAUUAUUUUAAUAUAUUUUUAAAUAAAAUAUAUUUUAAAAAAUAAUUUCUACCACACUUUCAAAAUAUAAUUCACACACACACACACACAUAUAUAUAUAUAUAUAUAUAUAUGAAAAAGUAAAGGGCAGUUUUAUAUUUUUUUUCAAAUUAUAAAAUUGAGAAUUUAGUAUGUUUUUUAAACUUUUUGAAGUCUUUUUUAGCUCUAAAUUAUUUUAAAAAUAUGAAUUUAGUAUUUAUUCGUGCACUUUUGUUUUGCUCAUCAAACCUUUUUGAUAAUAUUUAUUUGUCUUGUUGGAUCAUGUUUUUAAAAUUUUUUGAAGGUUUUUUAAUUUAAAAUUAGUUUUUUAGAUUAUUUUGAUACAUUGAUAUAAAAAAAAUAAAAAUAAUUAUUUUAAUAUAUUUUAAAAUAAAAAAACAUUUUAAAAAAUAAUAUUUCUUAUAUUUAAAGCUUUAAAUUUCUUUUUUUACCGUCUCUUUGAACAUAUUUUUGGUAGUUCACAUGUCAAAUUAAAAGCAGAAACAGAUAAAAAGGCCUUACAAAUCACUUCAAAUCCACGACCAUUUAACACACAAAUACAUGGUUACAUAUCACGUAUAGAAUUAUGCAUAAAACAUGAGGCAAAUUAUUUGGAGACUAAGCGGUGCUGCGGAAUGGAGCUAUAGCUGGUGGAGUUGGAAUGUCACCGGACCCUUCAAGCAUCAAGAUCACAUUCUUGAUACAAGGACGUGAAGCUGGAUCAUGUUGAACGCACAGCAGUCCAAUCUUCACCAUUCUUUCCAGUGACUCGAAUUCUAUAUCUUCAUCCUUCACAAGCUUAUCCAACUGUCCAGCUGCAAAGCAUUGAUAUGCCCAACUGGGAAGAUUCAUUUCAUCUGGUGUUGAGACGUCUACUUUUAUACUGCUUCUGCAACAGAUGAUCUCCAGAAGUACAACUCCGAAGCUGUAGAUAUCAGCUUUUACCGACAUCAAGGCGUUAUUCUGCCAUUCAGGUGCCAUGUGCCCUCUACUCUGUGAGAGUGCCAUCGAGCUUCUUAUUUCUUCUGGAUAUAAUAGCUUUGAUAAUCCGAAAUCGGAGAUUUUGGCCAUCCAAGAAUCAUCCAUGAGAAUGUUUUGAGGGGUUAUAUUGCAAUGGAUGAUGCAGGCUUGACACUCUUCAUGUAGAUAGAGUAUUCCUCGAGCUAUAUCGAGCAAUCCUCACUCUUUCUUUCCAAAUGGGGCGCCUCUCAGACUGGAAUAAAAGAUCGGCAAGGGUGCCGUUUCUCAAGUACUCGUAGACGAGAACCCUCCGAGAGCCCUCCACACAAAAACCAAGCAACCGAACCAAGUUUCUGUGAUAAGUUUGUCCAAUCACAGUGAUUUCUGCUCGAACUUUUUUUCCCCUUCAUCUAAAACUUUCUCAAGUCUCUUAACAGCAACAGUUCUGUCACCCCCAGGCAUUGUCCCUCUGUAAACUGCACCAAUAGAACCCCUGCCCAGCUCUUCCAUGAAACCACCUGUAGCUUUCUCAAGCUCACUAUAAGAAAAUGACCGCAGAGUGAACUCUCCAGCCAAGCUUAUGAUUCCUGACAGCGUUUCGUAAAGAUAAGCUCGAUCCCUGUACACGCAGAAAGUAGAGAUUGCAAUGACAAAACACAAGAAAGUAACAGAGCCAAAUGCUAUAGCAAGAAACACAAGUAAACUUUUCCUGCUUUCUAUGAUGAUUGUCGGGCUCAUUGGAGGUGCAGGAGGAGAUGCUGCUUUCACUUUGAAGAAGGCUAUAGAUGAUGCGUUUCUAUCUUUUAAACCAUAUCGAAUUGGUGCAGUAUACUUUUCACACCUCUCAUUCAUAUAUAGAGCAACAUCACAGAGACAAUCUUCCAGGCAACACAAAACACAAUUUUCCUUCUUCACAUGUAGGACAGAAUAAGGAUAUCGCUCGAACAAUAUAUUCUCUACGGCUUUGACAUCGUACAUUUUCCCUUCUUUGGUGCCUCUGCAAAAACUUUCAGUGACAUUCUUGUAGCAUCCACUGAAUUUCUCACUGGGGUCAUUGAAAGCAAAUCCAGGAUAACAGGAACAGUCAGCAUUAGUGCCCACGCCAGAGCAAUAACUGUUGAAACCACAGAAGCCACGAACAUUGCAUUGAUUAUUCAAAGCAGACCACUCAAUAUGCACACUCCGGCUAGUUUUGUUCUCUAAGCAGUGUGAAUAAAACCUGAAAAUCCCAUCAGCAUCAAGCGUCGCACGAAAGAUUGUUGUUUUGUUGUUACAGGGAUAAGAACUUCUUGCCAACAAGACUGGUUUUUUAGAGACCGUAUCCAUGAACAGAAAUCCCUGGUGAUUGAAAUAGAGACUCAAUCCCUGGUGAUUGAAAUAGAAACUCAAAUCCCGGUAUUUUUUAUAAAUCCCUUCCCAGUAAGCAUCAAAAGAUAGACCAGCGUAGGCGACAAGGUUUCCAUCUUCCUGCAUCGCGAGGAGAAACCUUCCACUGGAGUGAUUUGAGCUCGACACACUUGAAACCAAUGGAUCAGGAUAAGUAAGAUUCUGACCUACUAAUAUGGUGUCAGUUGGGUAACCAAAGCUUUGCCAAAUAACAGAAGAACCAUUGUAAAGCACGAAAUUACCAGAAUCGAGCAUUGAAGCUGAAGUUGCGACUUCUGAAAAAUCAGCAAUAAGACUUCCGUUGCCCUGCUCAGUCCGAAGAAGGAGCUUACCCUCUUCUGAUAAGUGAAUGGUAGCAUUGAUGGAGACUGGUUCAUCAUCUCGAUUUGCAGUCCAGACGACCGUGUUAUUAGGCUGACCCAUCAUCCAUAUUCCUACAGCAAAUCCAUUUCCCUGUGAAUAGAAGCCAAACGCAAAAUGGCCUGAAGGGGAGAGCCAUGAAUGCAUGUUAGAGAUGGGAGAUAACUGAGAACCCAAGUGUAUUUCACCAAUUUGGUUCGGUUGAGUUCUUGCUUCCACAAAGAGUAUCGAUAACAUUAGAAGCAGAAGCCCUGAUACCGAAGCCAUGCCAAACAGAUGCAGAAAAGCUAGCUAUUGUUGAGACUAUACUGGCUAAAUGUUAAUGUGAUGAAAAUUCUAGCAAACUUCAAAACUAAAACCGUGUGAAAUGAAAGAUUUGUUCACUAUUGGGACGUCUGCAACUUUUCUUAUAGUGGCCUAGUGUGGUCCACAAAAGUCUACAAAACGUGUUAGACCAGUUGGCUGAGAGAAGUCAUCAUCUUCCUUUACUGAUACCCAGAAGCAACCCUCCAAGUCAAGAUAAUAAAGCUUGAAUUGCAGUUUUAUCAUAGUAAAUAUUAUCCCAAUAAAUUUCUCAAGAAAUUUCAUCAGUUGUGCUAGUAUUUAUAUAGUAAAAUUCUUAUAUGCCAUCAAUAUUUUGUAUAGGACUGAGAUUUAUAGUUUACGUUAAUUUUAUUUCUUAACAUUAUUAAUAGGUCAUUUAGCAUUUGGAAAUAUAUAAUGUUUUUUAUAAAAUUUCAGCAAUACAUCGCUUUCUUUUACUUAUCGUAAUUUUCAAUUUACUUAUCGUAAUUUUCAAUUUAUUGCUUUACUUUUUUUUAGUUUAUAGAUUCCUUAGCAUACACACCUUCAUCUCUUAAUCUCUUAAACCAAGUUGAGAAAUUCAUUUGAUUUGUGAGGCUAUUAGAGAUUAAAUUUCCAAGCUUAGUUUCUCCUUGUAGGAAAAAAGAAAGAAAUAACAAGUAACAUAAAAGUAAUAAUAAAAGUAAUUAUUAAUGGAUCAUCCAUCAAUCCAUCAACAACAACAUGCUGUAAUGUUUCAUAGGAGUGGCCAUUAAUAAUUAUUCACGCCAGUUGACAUCACUACCAAAAAAUAUAGUAAUUAUCAACUAAUUAAUCCAUUGCAAAUAAAACUAAAAUCCAUUGUUAAAAAAGUUUAGCAUUGGAAUCAACAACGGAAAGUAUCUAACGCAAAUCUAUCGUUGCUGAUUUUUCAGCAACGAAAAUUCCGUUACUGAAAAAUCAGCAACGGAAAAUCGUUACAAAUAUGCAACGGAUUAUCCGUUACUAAUAUAUUAGCAACAGAUUUUCCAUUGCUGAUUGAUGAAUUAUUUAUAAUCAGCAAUGAAAAAUCCAUUGAUGACUAUAAUAUUUUUAUUAAAUUUAUUUAUUUAUUUUUAUCCAAAUGUCUUUUAAUUUUUUUAAUUAAUUAUUUAUGGAUAUUUUAAAAGUUGUAGAAUAUAUAUAAACAACAUAAAUUAAUAUUGAAAAUGACUUUAUAACCAAUAAUAAAUGGAAUAAAAAUAAAAUUUAUAGUAUAAAAAUUUAGUUAAACUUGCAUUAAUGCAAAUAAAUCGAAAUACAAUAAAAAGAUACAAUCAUGUGCUUACUAUUGAAUUUGGAGAAGACAGAAACAUGUUCUUUACACCACUGCUUCCAUAACUUUUCCUCCCAUGAAAAACAACGAAUGAUUUUUUUGUUAGAACUACUACAACUGUAGGAUACAGAAUUUUAUUAGUUUUCCUGCCCACAAACUUAUGCCGAAGCUGAAGUUGGAUGUGGAGGAACAGAUACAUCGGUAAUUCCUUCUAACAUCAACACAACAGACUUCAUAGAAGGACGGAUACCUGGUUCAUCUUGAAUGCACCACAUGCCCACCAUAACCAUUUUCUCCAAAUUCUGCAAGUCUACAUCUUCGCCAAGAUCAAGCUUGUCCAAUUCUCUUGCAACCAUAAGCUCGUAUGCCCAAUUAGAAAGUAGAACUUCCUCUGGUCUUGAUACAUUAGUUUCUAUAUUUCUCCUGCAGAAAACAAUUUCCAAGAGCAUAACUCCGUAACUGUAAACAUCUGCCUUCACUGAUAUUGGAGUGUUCUUGUGCCAUUCAGGAGCCAAGUAACCUCGUGUCCCUCUGACUAUUGUGAAGGUUCUUGUUUGAUCAGGCACUAGCAACUUUGCUAGCCCAAAAUCAGAGAUCUUAGCAUUCCAAAAAUCAUCCAUUAGAAUGUUUUGAGGCUUUAUAUCGCAAUGGAUGAUUGGUGCCUCACACUCUUCAUGUAGAUAUAGGAUCCCUCUAGCAAUAUCCAAAGCAAUCUUCACCCUGUGACUCCAAUUUGGAAUUCUUUCAGUUCGGAAGAGAAGAUCUGCAAGGGAACCGUUGCUCAUGUAUUCAUAAACUAGUAGCCUCUGGGAGUCCUCAGUACAGUAACCAAGUAGCCG
rnacentral:lncRNA from 1 species